rnacentral:lncRNA from 1 species
CUCUAUAUCGGUCAUGCCAUUGGUCCCUUGGCUCUUUUCCUUCGUUUUCUGCUUGAGGGAUGGUGAACGUCCAUCUUUUUCUUCCAUCACUCGUUCCAAUCUUGGAUGUGCUUACAAUUGAGCUCAAAGUACUGUGUGUAGAUGGUGUAAUAGGCCAAUUUUGGCUUGGGCCUAUCCAAAAUAAACCAAAUAAAAACCCAAAAAAAUAAAAAAAUAAAAGUCCAAAUAACAAUUACAAAUCAACCCAAAUAAUUAAAACCCAAAACCAAUAAAUAACCCAAACCCAAAACAGGCCCAAUAACCUAAAAACUAACCCUAGCCCACAAAGUUUUAAAAAAAAAUAAAACCCUAAACAGCAGCCACUAGCAG